rnacentral:rRNA from 1 species
AUUGAACGCUGGCGGCAGGCCUAACACAUGCAAGUCGAGCGAGCGGCGGACGGGUGAGUAAUGUAGGGGGAUCUGCGUGAUGUAGCGGUAUAAGUACGGGAAACGUUAGCUAAUACCGCAUACCAUCAUAUGGGCCCAUAGGGGAUUAGCUAGUGGGUGAGGUAACGGCUCACCUAGGCGACGAGCCCUAGCUGGUCUGAGAGGAUGAUCGGCCACACUGGGACGGAGACACGGCCCAGACUCCUACGGGAGGCAGCAGUGGGGAAUAUUGCACAAUGGGCGCAAGCCUGAUGCAGCCACGCCGCGUGUAUGAAGAAGGCCUUCGGGUUGUAAAGUACUUUCAUUCGGGAGGCGUUACCGACCGAAGAAGCACCGGCUAACUACGUGCCAGCAGCCGCGGUAAUUC